AAAAAGGUAAUUAAGGGCACUGAUAGUGGAUGCCUUGACAAUCAAUACCGAUGAAGGCCGUAGAAGUCUGCGAUAAGCCUCGGGGAUCUGACAGCGAGAAAUGAUCCGGGGAUUGCCGAAUGGGGAAACCUAAUAUGGGUCAUGCCAUAUUGUCGCU
rnacentral:rRNA from 1 species